UACGGAGGGAGCUAGCGUUGUUCGGAAUUACUGGGCGUAAAGCGCGCGUAGGCGGCUUUGUAAGUUCGAGUUGAAAGCCCGGGGCUCAACCCCGGAACUGCCUUUAAGACUGCAUCGCUUGAAUCCGGGAGAGGUGAGUGGAAUUCCGAGUGUAGAGGUGAAAUUCGUAGAUAUUCGGAAGAACACCAGUGGCGAAGGCGGCUCACUGGACCGGUAUUGACGCUGAUGUGCGAAAGCGUGGGGAGCAAACAGG
rnacentral:rRNA from 1 species